UUUGUUUUGGGCGCCAAAAUGAAGACUCAGCAGCAGUCAGUCAGAAGAACUCUCUCAGACGGACACCACGUUAUUAAAGUAAGUUCUAUUAUUUAUUUAUGUUCACUUUAUACGUGAUACAUCUUCACUAGAUAGACAGUUUUUUUUACAAUAUGUAGCCAUUGCAAUGACUUGUAGUAAAAAUGAGUUUGGAGGAUGUUGGUGGAGUAAGUUAACGUUACAGUCAGUCAGUCAGUAACUUAAGUGUAAGGCUCAUAAAGAAAAACAGCGUUUUAAAAAUGUCAGCUGUAUAACGUUAUUUCACGUUUGGUAGUUUUAUCCGAGUUGAAAACUGUCAGAUUUGAGUUGACUUUUGAGGCACUUUUUACUCAGUUGUUCUAUGGAAACGGUUCAGGACAAAUAAAACGCUAACCAAACGUUAUUCUGUCCAGAGUAACGUUAUCCAUGUAAGUAAUUUACCAGAUGAUAUCAAUUGACAACAUUAAUAAUGACAUUGCGUAUGAAACAAACUGUCUGCUUAAUCAGAUGAACAGACCCGCGUCAGUUAUUCGUGACUUCACUACGCCACGAGCAACACUUGAUUCAAUUAGAAAAAGCUUUUUUUAAAUGCCUCACGUGACGUCUGGUAUAUUAACUGAAAAAAAUAUCGCUUUGAAGUGCCACACCUUAAAGCUGACGUUUUCGGAAGAGAACCUUGUUUUAAGAUCUCAUUUUGUCCAAAAUUGCGUCCUAUGACAGAUAUAAUACUUAUUUCAUUAUUGCUCUGUGUAUGUGUGACCUUAAUCAUUUGAGGUUGUGUGUUGAUUUCACCUCUGAAUAUUUCCUCUUAUAGGUCCAUCAUCCUUGCAUGCGCUACACACUCAAAAGCAUUGAUAAAUGCUGAAUUUAAAAGAAUCACUACUGUCUUAUGUUCCUGCGUGUCACCUGGACCUCCAAUCCAAAAACCUGACGAAACUCUUCUAUCAGAAAGGAGGACAGCUAGCAAAAAGACUUGGAACAAUCAAUGAUCAAAUGACAGAAGGCAUGAAUGAAGUCAGCAACAGUGUGGUCAUUUGAAGACACCACUGUUGGGAUUUGUGCUCUCAAACAACAUGCUUCUUGUGAUGAAGAAGAGGAUCUUUGUAUAGUCCUGGAAGGCAUGAAGGUGUUGCAACAUCGUGCCAUGUUGUUUGAGCUGAUGUAUGCCUUUAACCUGAACUAUCCUGAUCUCUGCUUUAUUUUUGAGGAAAUCCAAAAGAUUUUAAUGGAACUGCAUUGAGCGUAACUUUAACGAACAGUUUCUUUCAGUGAAAGGAUCAGAAAGACUGUGCUGCUUAUUUAUGUUCUUUUUAUUUAUCUGUUUUAAGUGUUUUUUCUUAUUAAAACAUUAACAGUUUGCUGCUCAGAGUUGAUUUUGGAAAUGGUUGUUGUAUUUUGUUUUUGUUGAAUCUUUGAUUAUCAGUUUAUACAAAUGCUGUAGCUCUGACUUUCUGAAGGAUUGAUAUAUUCCAGUUUGUAAAUCCAUUUAAAAAAUAAU